rnacentral:ribozyme from 1 species
GCCCCUGCUUCCACCCCCCUUCCUCCAUACGUUCCUGUCACUCGCGCCACCCCACCCGCCGCUGCGAGUCCUUCCCCUGCCCCCUCCACACCUGCGAGUUCUCC